UGCCUUUUGCCCUGUAUGAAUUAUCAUAUGUGUGUUCAGGUUGCUCUUUCGUCCAAAUCUUUGGCCACACUGAGAACAGACAAAUGCUUUUUGCCCUGUAUGAAUUAUCAUGUGUUUGUUCAGGUUGCUCUUUCUUCUAAAUCUUUGGCCACA